rnacentral:rRNA from 1 species
CAGCCGCCACGGUAAUACGUAGGGUGCGAGCGUUGUCCGGAAUUACUGGGCGUAAAGAGCUCGUAGGCGGUUUGUCGCGUCGUCUGUGAAAUUCUGCAGCUUAACUGUAGGCGUGCAGGCGAUACGGGCAGACUUGAGUACUACAGGGGAGACUGGAAUUCCUGGUGUAGCGGUGAAAUGCGCAGAUAUCAGGAGGAACACCGGUGGCGAAGGCGGGUCUCUGGGUAGUAACUGACGCUGAGGAGCGAAAGCGUGGGUAGCGAACAGGAUUAGAUACCCGCGUAGUCCCUGUCUCUUAUAC